CCUACGGGAGGCAGCAGUGGGGAAUAUUGCGCAAUGGGCGAAAGCCUGACGCAGCGACGCCGCGUGAGGGAUGAAGGUCUUCGGAUCGUAAACCUCUGUUAGCAGGGAAGAACGGUCACUGUGCUAAUCAGCAGUGAAUCGACGGUACCUGCAAAGGAAGCACCGGCUAACUCCGUGCCAGCAGCCGCGGUAAUACGGAGGGUGCGAGCGUUAAUCGGAAUUACUGGGCGUAAAGCGCUCGUAGGCGGUAUGUCAAGUCAAGGGUGAAAUCCCCGGGCUCAACGUGGGAACUGCAUUGGAAACUGGCAAACUUGAGUGUGUGAGAGGAUAGUGGAAUUCGAGGUGUAGGAGUGAAAUCCGUAGAUAUCUGGAGGAACAUCAGUGGCGAAGGCGACUAUCUGGCACGUAACUGACGCUGAGGAGCGAAAGCGUGGGUAGCAAACAGGAUUAGAUACCCGUGUAGUC
rnacentral:rRNA from 1 species